UUCCACAUCAUCUCACUCUAAUGUACGCUAUUCUGUCUUUUCUGGGUUCAAUCUUCUAUAGGUGUAUGUGUAUCCCAUCAAUACUUGCGACAUCUUUUUUUCUUUUCUGCACGUAACAGGAAUUAUCAUUUGAUGUGCUCAUGAAAACAUAUGACAUAGCCUUGAUGGAUCAAGAUUUUCUUUCACAAAUUCCCUGGCACUAUGCAAUUAUUGAUGAGGCCCAACGUCUAAAAAAUCCAUCCAGUGUAAGUGGCCAUUUUAUUUAUGUAGUUCUUUUGAAUUCAGGGUUUGACUGGUUCCUUACCGUUACUGCUGCUUUUGCCACCAAGCACCUCUUGGUACUACUGCUAAGCUACACAGGAUGUACCUCCCCUCGUAUUUGUGCAUUAUGUGAUGUUUUCAGUUUUGAUUCAGUAGUAGCACGGAAGCUCAGACUUUCAGUACUGUUUGGGAAAAGAAACAUCUUCACUUUCGAGCGCUGUAUUGGUAGAGCAUAAUGACAGAGGUAAAUUGGGCACUGUGACUAAGAGAAAACUAAAGAAUAUCUAUGACUUGGUGGCACCAAGUGGAAAUAUUCAUAUUUCAUUAGCAGUUUGUGGACUUCAGGUUCAGCUGAUUAGUUACAACCUGUGUUGAGCUUGAGAGGGCUGCAACCAUAAAAUUGCUCAAAAAACAACCCUAUCAAUUUCCAUUACUUGUAACGAGAAUAUCAGAGUUUAGUUACAUUGCCAGAUAAAGGAAACAGAGGAAAGAGCAGACACCCCCUAGGAGUUCUAACCUAAUUCAAGCUAAAAUCCUAGGUGCAAUUCUGCAUUUUUAUUGGUUCGUUGAGCUUGUAAUCCAAGCAUUAGUGUUAAAAGGAAUUAGAUUAAUAGGUGUGCAUGUGUCAUACACUCAAAUGCUAUAUGUUACACCCUUUUCCUUUUCUCCUUUUGGUUACGAUCAAUUAAAAUACACAUAUAUUUUGUAACAAACCUUCCAAGUUUAACUCAGAAAGUUCUUUGCCAGGUACUGUAUAAUGUCCUUGAGCAACGCUUCAUCAUGCCAAGACGUCUACUACUAACAGGCACUCCUAUCCAGAACAACCUUUCUGAAUUAUGGGCGUUGAUGCACUUUUGUUUGCCUUCAAUAUUUGGAAAGCUAGAUGAGUUCCUUUCCACCUUCAAGGAAGCAGGGGACUCAUUAACAGGUAUUACUUUCAAAUUCUAGAGGGGCGCAUUUUAGCAUAUGUCAAUUGCCAGGUACCUUUUGUGCUGAACAACAGUGCAUUUGUGCACUCUUGCUAUGAACACUAUAUUCUCCAUGUAGCUUAUGCACUGGUUUAUUUUCCUUAUGCAGUCUGUUCUAUUGCUAAAAUUUUGCACAGUUUAUUCAUGAUUCGUGUUGUAUCACAUUUGUGUAGGUGAAUUGCUGUUGGAUGCUUAAUGUUUUUACUUCUUGAUUCCUUUCAGCGUCCUUCAAAAGACAUUCAAAGUUGAGAUCAAUACUUACAGCCGGAGUGAGGUUGUUGCCAUGGAGUGGUUGGUUCAGGAGGCCCUGAACUUCAAGUGUUUCGUCACAACAACUCACCAUUUCCUCUGGUACCACAAACUUCCUGCUUUCUUAUCUGUAUCAGCUGAGCAUAACGACAGGCUAACACCAUUGUGUUCAAAUUUCGCAGGUUCUAUCUGAAGGCUGCAAAGGCAGAUGACAGGGUAGUGGACCUGGCAAAAUACCUGUCCUUGCUCUCACUUCUCAAACAUAAGCAGCUCUCCUUCUGGCCCUAAAUUGUGGCAGCCGCUGUGGUAGCCCUUGCUUGCCUUGCCACAGACAAGGAGUCCUAAUGCCAUUUAGUCAUGGAGGUGAACACCUCAGUCCUCCAUUUCUAGCUAUAAAUUGUCAUUACACUUGCUAUUGUUUAGAACUUGAUAAACAUAAGCAAAAUAUGAACUGUAACAUUCAGAAUCUCUUGUCAGUCAGCUUCUAAACAUACACCAACUCCAAUUUUACAUGUUCUGAUUCUAGCUAGACUGGAAAUGCCUAACGAGUAGCUCUUUGCAUGUAUGUAGACUCACAUGAGGACGCAGGAUGACGAUCUGCCUAAAUGUAUAAUGGUACAUUUUUCUCCUCUGAUUUUUUAUAAGUUACUGAGCACAAAACACCAUGAACCAUGCUCUUACAGUUCCAGCAAUAGGCAGAAAUCUACUUUUAUCACAAUACAUUCAUUACCCCGUACAAUCUUCUUUCAUGCAGAGCCUACAGUGGCUGAUCAACUACGCUUCGUGAUACUCGUGACUCCCAGGUGACGAAAUUGAUCCACAGUUUCCCGAUUCCAAGUUACACAGCACAGUUCAAGCGGUCAGACGGGCAUGAGGAUGUGUAGGCCAUACGUGAAUCUUAGCAUUAACAGAUUAUUCUGUACAUGCCAUAAGCCAAGGCAGCAUAAAACGAAGUCUGUGAUUAAACGACUUUCUGGCUAGGAGCAAGGCAAGGAUCGAGAGUUUGGUAUUGAGAUGUCGGCCUUUAGGAACUACUGAAUGACCUAUUGGGCUGUCUAUUAUCCUUGGGUAGGCUUGGUUGUCGCCACGUCGGGGAAAAAAUGGGGAAAGCAGACGGUGGUCGGUGGAUGGAUGACUGUGCUUCACUGCACUUGUGCCAUGCCACGACUUCUACUGUAGUUUACUGCAGUUGAUGCGUGUGCUGUGCACGUAGAUAGAUGUUAAGGCAUUCAGUAUUACUGAUGAUGUCUCUGUUGUUUCAUAUGUAGUAUUUGCUGAUAUCUUCCUAUAAGUUUCAUAUUUGGUGGUAAUUGUUGUUUCCUUCGUAAUGGUGAUGGAGUAAUGGUCUUUUCUGCCACUCAUCUUUGAUGAAUUGUCUACCACAUAUUAUGAAGCGAAGCUAACAUAUUAUGAACAAACGUAUAAUAACGUGAGAGCAAGUAAUGACCCGUAGCAACGCACGGGCAUUUCUGCUAGUCUAUUAUAAAGUGAGUAAGACUUAUUUUUUUGUUUUUUUCGUACAUCGGCCCCCCUAAUAUGUCAUAGGAACCGGGCAAAAACAAACUCAUGUAUAAAUAUAGGUAAAUAAAAUAAAGAUUAGAUUGGUCCAAUUGAGUACAAUCCAGAAAAAGCCCUGUUGUGCUGGUUGCAUCUAAGCAUUGGUUUCGAUUGCUUCGUGUUGGAGAUGCAUUAAAUCCCUAAUAAUUUCACCAAGAACCAACCACAUAUGGAUUUGUUAAUGCUGGUGGCUCCUCAGGGGGAGUGUUAGCUCGCGGCGGUGGGACAUGGUAGCGCAAUAUUGGCAGUGAGGAUCCUAUGGUGUAUGUUUGGCCACCGGCAUACACCGAGCGCAAUAUAGAAGUUAAUUUCAAUAAACCAUGCGGGCAUGUUACAUACCACUUGACUUCAAUUACACGGACACCUGGGUGGUUUCUACUCAUUCAAUUUCAAUAAAAAGGAUUUUGCAAAGAACCAACCAUACACGCAUUUGGUGCAUAAAAAAAUAAGCUACACAACCAUGUCCGUACCCAUUGAAGCUGGAGGCUCCCGAGGGGAUUUGCUAUGCUUCGGCAGUCGGACAUUGCGGUGCAAUAUUGGCAUCGAGAAUUUGUUAGCAUCAGUAUGUCCGCCUACAUAAUUGAAGAAUAACAUAGUAAUUGAACUGAAGUGCCGGUAUGGUAAAAUUAUUAUAUGAUACUUUGGUGAGGUACUUGAGCAUCAUGCUUACCGAUUCCCAAGAAUAGCACGAGUUGUAGGAGGAUUGGAGGAUAGACAUCGCCCAGGUGUUGCGAGUCAUGCCUUCAAACUGACCGAUGGUAAGGGAGAAGAGACCUGGUGCUGGUUGGUGUCACCGAGUGCAUCUAUUUAUAGGCAAUACUCAGAGUCAAAAGUGGACGCUAGGCGCGUCGUGGAUGGUGC
rnacentral:lncRNA from 1 species